ACCAGAAAAGUUCUGGCGUAUUUCUCCUUCAGCAGCUACAUGGCAUCUGCCUGACUCCACCUUCUUUCCUCCGCUAUCUCUGCUUGGCUUUCCCGCCUUUCUAUAUUCUGCCCUGCCAUAGGCCAAAGCAGCUUCUUUAUGAACCAAUGGAAAUAAAACAUAUUCACAGCAUAUAGAGUAUUUGCCUACUGUUGCUAGAACAGGGUUUGGGAAGAGUGCUGCUUGCUGCUCUUCUGUUGGUGUUCACAACCACCUAGAACUCUGGCUCCAGGGCAUCUAAGAGUACAGCAGAAGCACAGGCACACAAGCUGUUCUAAGUUGGAAGACAGGGCUGUAUACUGUACCGCUGUGAGGCUGUCUAUGGGAAGGAUGGAGACACAGAUGGGCAAAGAACCAGAAAUGUACAACUUAUGUCUACCAGAAUUUCAUCGCUUAAAAUCACAGUGUACUUAACUAAGGUAAAUUACAUAAUGGCCAAGGAGUAUUUUGAGUUUUAUCCAGGCUAAAAGCUUUUCAGUUGUACCUUGUAGUGUGGUGUUGCUGGUUUUGUAUCUUUGUAUUAAAAAUACCCCCAUCUUCUCCCUAAGAAAAAUUCUAACUCUAUUGGCAGGUAUUCUGUUAGGUUCUAAGUCAAGUGACAUGCCAUUUGAGAUCUGCAUUUUUAUUAACCCCAGUUUUCAAUUCUGCUUUCCCUCAGCUCAUAGCUCUGUUCUGAACACAUUCUGUGGUCGUGUGAAUGAGAAUGGCUCCAUAGGCUCACACUUGAGUGUCUGAUCCCUUAAGAACACUGAGAGUGUCAUCCACCCCAGAAAGUGCUUCUUCUUGAACUCUUUCUAAUGCGCCAAAAAAUUUAUAGUUUCCUUAUAUUUUACAUAAUUCAUGAAUGUGAGAAGACAGAAUUAUCAGAAAGAAAACAUGAGAAAUGGUUAGCUUGUAAUAUCUUUAAAUAGUGGAUUCCGUGUAGUGCACGUGCAUGGAACACAACUACCCAGCAUCAUGGACAAGUGUCAGGCAUCUGAGGAAGGGACCUCUGCUGGGUUUCCUGAAGAACUUAAGACACAUGAAGCAAUGGAGAUACACGGUGGAAAUACACCACACAGAUGGAAAUUUAAAAAGAAGGGGAUGAAAAAAAAUUUCUACACUAAUGACUUCUAGAAAGAAUAGUGGACGUGUGACCGUAGAGGGGGCUUGGGGUCUUCACGUGAUGCUCGUUCUCAGGUUUCACUUGCAGUGCAUAUCGGAUUAGUUAAACUUUCUGUAUUACAUUUAUUUCUCUGUGUGAUGUAUCUAAUUAAAAGUUAAACAGUAAAGAAAAAAGAGGUAAGAAAAAAGAGUGAAAAGUAACAAAGACAGAUACAGUUGAAUUUGUACUUGACCAAGAAUCUCACCUAAUAAACAACAUACCUCAAGGAGACAUUAAGAAAUAGACUUUAAAUGCCUGCUAAUUCAAAUAUAUAUGUAAUUUUAAAAUAUGUGUAUUUUUGAAUAGUGGCUGUAUACAUUUGACCUAAUUAUACAACUGCUACAAUAAAGUAGAAAUAAUUAACAAAGUGAAUUUUACAAAAGUAAAUUUCAUCUUAGCACGUUCCUAUGACCUAAUUCUCUGUGUUGCUGAUGUCUGGGAUGGGCUCAUCUUUUAGCAGCCAUUUCCUAUGAUUUCACUGAUGCCAGACCAUAUGGUCAGAACCCUGCCAGUGCUGAGCGCUUCCGAUGGUCCCUGGUUCAGAAGCCUUUAUAGAAAGGAAAAUGUGCUUGAGUCCCCUCAGCCUCCUCUGACUCUAAUCAGCAUAUCUAGAUACAAACCCAGCUGUUCUUACCUCACCUAUAAUGGUUAGAAUCCAGCACAAGUGUGCUCAACUGAUGGUCUGUAGACAAAAUGUAUUUUGGCCUUUACAUACUGGGAUAUAUUACAUGACAUCCGUUAAUGUUCUAUAAAAUACCAGUAAAUAUUUUGCUUUAAAUAUAAUCCAACGAUGCAGGCAUGUUUAAAAGAGUAAAUUUUAUGCAUUGUGGCCAGUGCACUUUUUAUUUUGAAAAACAGCUGUAUCUUUAUAUCUAAAAUUUGACAGGUUCUUUUUAUAUACAGUGAUUUUAUUGAAAAAAGAUAUGCUCUAAUCAUGCUUUCCCCCAUCCUGACUCCUAGGUCCUCCCCUUCAUCCUACCUCCUCCUAGUCCUCCCCAUCAUCCCAGCUCCUAGUCCUCCCCAUCAUCCUAACUCCUUCUAGGUCCUCCCUAUCAUCCCAACUUCACCUCCUUUCUUUUUCUUUUUUUAAAAAACAAACAGGUUAACAAAUCACAAGAAACCCAACCAUACAUACACACACACACACACACACACACACGCAAAACCUCCACAAAAAUCAGAAACCAUAGUAUUCAAGCAAAGACCAAUAAGACCAAAAGAAAACAGUUUCAAACUAAGGAAAAACAAGACAUGAAAAGUCUUCAAAAGAAUGGUUGAGUUUGUUUGUGUUGAUUACCUACUGCUAGGCCUGGGGCCCAUCCUAAAGUGUGGUUUCUAUACCUAGUUAGACUGCAUUGGAGAAAAGUGAGUUUUCUUUAGCAAGCAAGUGCCAGUUGCAGAUAGCGUCCUGCUUAGGGGUGGGCACUCCAUAUCCAUUUCCCCAUCUUAGUGCUGGGACCCCAUCUGUUUUGAACUAAUUUGGGCCCUGUGCUGCCAUUUUCUCAGAAUUCAUCUGUUCAUCUGACCUGUUGUGUCUGGAGGGCCCUCCUUCCUUGGAGGCUUCACCCCCCUGGUCCUAAAAAGCUUUCCCUUUCCUCAUAUACAGAGAUCUCUGGGGCCACAGGGAGGCUUUCAUAACGAUUUCCCAUUUAGGACUGAGUGAUCCAAAGUCUCUCCCACUGCAUUGUCCAAGGUUGGUUCCUGGCUCCUGCAAGAGGAAGCUUCUCUAUGAGAAGAUUCUUAAAAUUUUUCAUUUCAGGUUAAUGAGGUGAAAGUUACAAAUGCAAAUUUUAUUCUUACUAUGUUAAACUUAUUUCUGAUAAAUGCGUAUACUCAUGUCAGUAUGACCACAGUCAAGAUAAGGAGUGCUGCAUCAUCCCAGAAAGUUCUCUCAUGCCGUUUGCUCAGUCUACCCAUGUCACCACGCCCAGUCUAGCUGGCACGCCCAGUCACCACUGCUGGCAGCAGUGGUCUGUACUUCCUCAAUACAGCGCUCUGUUUCUGCUUCUUCCCUGAGCUAACACUGCUAAGGUCUUGCCCGCUCUGGUUUGCUGUUUGCUGUUGAGCAGUUCAGUGCAUGACUCCUCACAGGCCCUUCAGUGGCUCUAGUCGCUGGGAGCUGUAAUACAGUAACCUUUUCACUAACAUUUGUGGUUCCUAUUGUUUGUGGUCAUGAUGCAUUUGCUUCUCUUGGGUAAAUGCCUAGAAGUGAAAUUGACUGCUGUUGUUUUCCAAAGUGACUGUUUUCUUCAGUCCCAAGUGUGUGCUUAAAGCCCUUUCUUGCACCUGUCGGACUUUGCUUAAAUUUCUCUUAACACAGCUGUGCUGAUUUCUUGUGUUUUUCUGAGCUGAGAAAAUGGUCCGCCUUCAUUUCAGGAGGUAGUUCUACUUCGCAGGACACGAGCCACAUGGUGAGACUCUGGGUACACUUGCUUCCCCAGAGCUGUCCUCGCUGCUGCUCCUUCCUCCUUCACGACUCCACCCGCUGUGGCUGGCAGAAGUCCUCCACUUCCAGGUGUGGAGCUUUUCACCAUCCUGUGCCUGGGGCAACACUUUGCUUUUUACCAGGAGGCUUCAGAACUGUGGAGACAGAUCUGUUUAUACAACAGAUUCUACAAGGCCAGCAGGAGGAUGCUGGCCACAGCAGCUUAAAAUAAGGCAGAAUUUUUCAAAACUAGACUUUGGAUUUAUUUUUUUAAAUUUCAUUUAUUGACUCUAUUCCUAUUUUUAAAACUGUUUUAGUAAUCUUUGUUGAUAAUGUUUUUUAAAAGGGGUCAUUAGAAGGGGUCAACUAGCUUCACAUCAUGGAGUAAAAAUCUGCAGGUAAAGCUGAGCACCUCGUGCAUAAAAACUCCCCUAGAUAGAGUGGCUGGAGUGUCCGCGGGCCAGAGGGAAAGGUGCACAAGUUCCUGUCCAGAGUGCUUUCAUUCUUCUGCCAGCACCAGCAAGGUAGAUCGCUGAUGAACUCAAGUUCCUGGUCUGGCUGUGAGAGUUUUUAAAGCAUUACUUAACCUCUCUGAGUUUCCGUUCCUUCGUAAAGGAAGAUGAUGACAGUAGGAUUCCCCGAGCUCAGCUCCCUCGCCAGAAUGCAUUCUCACGGUUAUUUUUAUUCCCUCACCGAUUGGUGUUUCUCAGAAACUCCAAAAGACCAGACCAUAAGCUGACACAGCCUGUACAUUUGCUUCUACCUCACUGUUGGAAUUGUAAAGGAAACCAGUGUGCAGGCCAAGAACAGACAGUUCCCACACUUUCUGACAGGCGCACUUUGACCCUUGCUUGUGUAAUGAACCACUUGAGCUGACCUGCCCUAGUUAGAGACCCAGACUGCAGAGACCGCAUUGAUCCUUCAGACAGGUGUGCUCCAGCAGAGCCCUCCUUUGCAAAAGUAGGCUUUAGUCGAAAGACUCCGAAGUUGAAAGUAAAAUUUGCCUGAUUCACCUAUCUGAACGUUUCAUCUCUCUGGUGCCAUGUUUCUCUUUUGGCUUGUUUGGGGCAGGGUGUUGUUUGUGAGGCACAAUCUGGCCUAGAAUUGACAGUGUCCUGAACCCUGUGAUUUUCCUGCCUUGGCUUCUUGAGUGUUGGGAUUACAAGUGUGCUCCACAUACCCAGCGAGAGGCGGGGCCAGCCUUAGUUGUGAGCAGAGUGACAAGUCAGCUCAGAUGUCUGUCUUUGAGUUGCUCUGAAGGCGCCUUAGGCUCAAACUGAUCCAAUUCCUCAUCCAUUUUAUAUGAGGAGCCAACAGAAUGUGCUAGUGAAUUGUGUGGCCUGUGAGAGAAAGUGUCAGGGAGGGUGACAUCAGGUUUCACAACCCAAGAAACAAGAUGGGAAGCCGAGUUGUUCAUAAUGGUCCUGUAAUGGUGGUUGGUGAAGAGGGCAUAUGCAUCUCUUGUGUGGUGUAUACUUGUGCGGUGUUGUUGGCCCCGUUACAAUCACACACCGACAGACAUUCUGCAGAUAGUUUAUUCUCUGAGUGCAUCCCUAACUUUGCUGAACUCACUUAGAAUUCUAACCCUGCCACCUGCUGAUGCUUGCAGUUCCACUUAAAAUAUUUACCUGUUGUUCCACAUGCUAGGCCUUCAUCUGAGGUUCUAUAGAGGUAAUGAUAAGGCUCUUGUUGUUGUUGGUCUCAUUUCUGUUGACAAGGAUGUGCUCGUAGUGUUUCUUCAUUAACUAUGAUGGUUGCUAUCAAUUCUUUUGAAAGUAUUCUUUAUCAAAUUAAAUAGGUUAUCUGUGGAUCUUAGUUUCCUCAGGGUUUUUAAAACUAGAAACAUUAAAAGGUACUGAGAGACUGUAUUUUCAUAUAUAGCUCGAGAAGUCUCAGCCCUUUGAGACACUAAGCCUAGCUCCAUUGUAAA